rnacentral:rRNA from 1 species
UACGGAGGGGGCUAGCGUUGUUCGGAAUUACUGGGCGUAAAGCGCACGUAGGCGGCUUUGUAAGUUAGAGGUGAAAGCCCGGGGCUCAACUCCGGAAUUGCCUUUAAGACUGCAUCGCUAGAAUUGUGGAGAGGUAAGUGGAAUUCCGAGUGUAGAGGUGAAAUUCGUAGAUAUUCGGAAGAACACCAGUGGCGAAGGCGACUUACUGGACACAUAUUGACGCUGAGGUGCGAAAGCGUGGGGAGCAACAGGA